rnacentral:tRNA from 1 species
GGUAAGGUGGCUGAGUUAGGCGGUAGAUUGUAAAUCUACCAACGAGAAGUUAGUUUCUCCCUUUCCA